rnacentral:rRNA from 1 species
AGUGAACGCUGGCGGUAGGCCUAACACAUGCAAGUCGAACGGCAGCACAGGAGAGCUUGCUCUCUGGGUGGCGAGUGGCGGACGGGUGAGGAAUACAUCGGAAUCUACUCUGUCGUGGGGGAUAACGUAGGGAAACUUACGCUAAUACCGCAUACGACCUACGGGUGAAAGCAGGGGAUCUUCGGACCUUGCGCGAUUGAAUGAGCCGAUGUCGGAUUAGCUAGUUGGCGGGGUAAAGGCCCACCAAGGCGACGAUCCGUAGCUGGUCUGAGAGGAUGAUCAGCCACACUGGAACUGAGACACGGGCCAGACUCCUACGGGAGGCAGCAGUGGGGAAUAUUGGACAAUGGGCGCAAGCCUGGUCCAGCCAUACCGCGUGGGUGAAGAAGGCCUUCGGGUUGUAAAGCCCUUUUGUUGGGAAAGAAAUCCAGCUGGCUAAUACUCGGUUGGGAUGACGGUACCCAAAGAAUAAGCACCGGCUAACUUCGUGCCAGCAGCCGCGGUAA